rnacentral:lncRNA from 1 species
UACAAUCUGUAGAAUGUCUCAAGAAUUGAGCAAAACUUGUCCAAUACAUAAGUGAGAUCAAUCCGGUCGAGUGAUGGAUGGUCAAAUACCGAAAAGAUCCAGUGAUGCUUCAAAAUAGAGUAGAAUAGGAUUACUAAGUAAUGUUUUCCUUUCACCUGUUUUUUUUAUAAUUUUCUCCCAAAACAAAUAAAGUAGGAUCAAUAAGAUAUAAAAUGUAUAAUUAAUGUUAGAUUAUAUAAAUAAAGAUUUAAUUUGUCUAAAAUAAAAUAUGAAAUAUUGAAAUUGAGAAUAACUCAUAUUAAAAAUAAUAUGAUUCUUUUUUCUGGAAAAAAAUUAUAAAUUUAUCUAUUAAGGUUUUAAACUAAAAUAAUUUUUAUUUAAAAAUAUAAUUUUUUUCAUAUAUUUUUAACUUUUAAAGGUUUACCAGACGAUGGAUAACUGGAAAAAAAAUCGGGCAUGUGCAAGGUUUGCUAGAGUAUGUUCAGGUAAUUACUCGAUACUCGCACGAUGUUCGUCGAACGGUACGUGUCCCCGAUACCGUUUAAAUGAAAUCGUUCGCACAGUCGUUCAAACCUAGAUUAUAUCUUAACUAUAACCCUAAAUCAUAUUAAAAUAAUAACGAAUUUACAAAGAAUAAAAAUACUUGUUUUUUUCGGUAACUCACUUGCCUUAUCUGACUCCUUACAGAAUUACGGUUUUUGAAAGUAGAUGAGAUCUCAUCAACUAAUUUCAUCGUCUACGCGUAGACGUCUGAAUUUAGACUUUUCUUUGUUAGUUAUAUAAAAUUUUCCUCGGUCCUCUCUUCUUAUUACGACAAGAAUACCUGGAAAUAUAUCUUCUUCAUCAACCAUGAUGAAUUAGUUGAAGUACGUGUGGUCAUGUACAAUAUCUCAUUACUUGACCAAUUCCGAUAUUGUUUUUCCACUUCUCUCGUUUUCUUUUUCUAUAAAUUAAACAACCUCACCUAGCUAUCCGAUAUACGAAUUCAUUCUCAGAAUCUCAGAUAAAAGGUACCUGAAGACAUAUAUGGCUUCUCUGUUUUGUUGCACCAUCGUCGUUUUAACUCUAGCUUCCAACAUUAAUAUGCUAGUAAAUUCAAAAAAGGCUGGUAAUGUUGUCAACACCACCUGCCU